AUGAACGCUAGCGGCAGGCUUAAUACAUGCAAGUUGAGGGGCAGCAUGAUAUACGCGAGUAUAUUGAUGGCGACCGGCGGACGGGUGAGUAAUAGGUAGGAGACCUACCUCAUACAGGGGGAUAGCAUAGAGAAAUCUGUGGUAAUACCCCAUGAGGUUAUAUGAAUAGAGGCAUAUAAUCAAAGCAUAAGUGAUUAUGCGGUAUGAGAGGGGCCUACUGACCAUUAGCUAGUUGGUGAGGUAAGGGCUCACCAAGGCGAAGAUGGUUAGGGGUUUUGAGAGAGAGACCCCCCACAUUGGAACUGAGAGACGGUCCAGACUCCUACGGGAGGCAGCAGUAGGGAAUAUUGGGCAAUGGGCGAAAGCCUGACCCAGCCAUGCCGCGUGAAGGAAGACGGCCUUAUGGGUUAUAAACUUCUUUACUACGCGAAUAGAGGUUAGUACGAGAUACUAAUAGGAAGGUAGUGUAGUAAAAAGCACCGGCUAACUCCGUG
rnacentral:rRNA from 1 species